CGGAGAACGACACAAGCUUCACAGAGAAACUCGAGGACACCCUCCUGUGAGCGGGAGGCUCUACCCCUCUCGACUGCUGAAUAAAUAACAAGAACGAAGAAGUAAAAGGCAUCAGAGAGCAGCACUGGGUGAACAAGAGGACGAAUCGCACGUGUACAGACAGCUGAUUGUCCACCAGCAACACUGGAUGCCAGACGAUGAUGGGAUCAAGCCUCAGAGGCAGCGAGGAGAAAUGGCACAGUGCAGCACUUCUACCCUAGGCGUAGCCACCUUCCAGAGUAGCAACUUGACAUGGAUUGACAGCUUUAGCAACACAAGUAUCCAGGCUCUCCUGGCAGAAGUCUCCUGUGGUUUCACUGGGCUGAAAGCAAGGGGAAGCCAAGCUGAGUUCCUUCUGCAGGCGCUGAGGAAGAAUCCCUCCUCGCACGUUGGUACUGAAUGCAUGGAUCCUCUUCUACCAUCAAUGCCGGCGUGGUUGGCUGAGUCCUUCUCAUACCAGCACAUCUCUCAGAUCCCCUCACAUCCAUCUUCCUGAGCACAGCAUGACAAGCUGGCUUCCUCCUUAAGACUUCAUGUCAUUAGAGGUGUUUACCCAGAUAAUGUCACCAACUGCCCUUCUGUUAUGCUCUGUAACCUGGUCACCAGGUCUAGGUAUGGGGAAGGGGAUUGUAUUAUCUCUUAGUAUUACUUUGACAUCUACAGACAUUUAUUUUUUUGUACUUAUUUAAUGUGUACGGCUGUCUCAUCUGCAUUUGUGUUUGUGUUACUACGUGCAUAACUUGUUACAGGCAGCUGUAAACCACCUUGUGGGUGCUGGGAAUUAAAACUAAGUCCUCUGGAAGGGCAGCAGUUCUCAGCUCCACUGAACCAUCUCUCUUGGCCAUACAUUGAUACUUUUAAGGUACAUGAGUCAACUGUUUUGUAUAAUAUUUUCAUACUACCUUGUCUCUUGUCUCUAUUUUACAAAUUCUGGUCGUAAGAUUUUAGCAGGGGUGCUCUCCUCAGAAGUGGGCUUUCUCAGAAGUAUGACACACAUCUUUCCAUUACUGCCACAGUGUCUGCUUCUUGCCACCAUCAGGUGCUUGAAAUAAGAUGGCACUGUCUGCAUAGUCUAUGGAUAUAUAAUAAAAUAUGGAGUCUUAUGGCUUGGGCAGUGGAAGUGUGAGGCUGCCCAUUACAGGCUAUUUUAUUACACUGUGAAGUCCAGGAUUGUGAACUAGGAAAACCUAUUUCUUGUUGUGGUAUGGCUCAGCCCCAGCAUACACCUUUAACCCAAGAGCUUUCUGUUAACAAGAGAUAAAUAAAGUCAACAAUAGGUCAAGAGGCGGGGCAAGCAACUAGCUGACAGCUAGUGAACAGAAGAAAACCCAGGAAAUGAGAAAGGAGGGUCUUUGAGUUGACAGGGAUUUAAGACAGUGUGGAAGAAGGAGAGGAGUUUUUGCCUUCUGGGAAGUCAGUGGAGUAGGAAGGUCAGCUGGGUGCUUUCUCUGCCUCUCUGAGCUAGCAGGCUUUCACCCCAGCACCUGGACCCUGAGUCUUCAUUUAGUAAAUCAAGCAUUUGGGAUUUUGUUUUAAAAACAUCAACUGGCUGUUUACAUAUUGGUGGAUCAGAAAAUAGGUUGCUCAGGCAGGAACUGGGUCAGGCUGAAACCCAGAAGACCCAGGCCAGGACCUACGACCUUUAGUUAAGGUUCCACAACCUCCCUAGAUGGCAGCACCUAGUCGGAAGUAAAUGUUCAAACAAGCAAGCCUAUAGGAGUGUCUCUCAUUCAAAUCACCCCAGCAUGUGUACCUCUGUCAAAGUGGCAUUUAUAAGUCAGGUAGAGUAAACGACAAA